GUCACACGUGACCUUUAAGCAAAGGCGACAACACCUGCUGCUGCUAAACAAGACGACGACAUCACGGACGACGAAUCUUCGUUUUCUGUGACGUUUGCACCGGAAGUAGAUGAAGCUAUAGCUUUGGUUUUACCCAGCCAGGAUCCUCUCGAUAGUCCGGACUUCAAUCCUGUAGAUUACAUUAACCAACUGUUUCCAACAGAACAGUCUUUAGCGAACAUUGAUGAGAAGAUAUCAAGGAAGUGUGUAGCUAUCAGACGUUUAGAUAAUGGGCUAAAGAUGCUGUUUGAAGUCAGACUAAGUAGUAAUGUAGGCCAUGAUGGUCGUCAGUCACUGGAAGAAGCCCAAAGAGCAAUUCAAGAACUGUUCGUUCGGAUUAGAGACAUCAAAGCUAAAGCUAACAAAUCAGAACAGAUGGAAAUCACACGUGACAUCAAGCAACUCGAUCAUGCUAAACGACAUCUUACCACAUCGAUCGCAACAUUAAAUCAUCUGCACAUGAUCGUGGAGGAGUAGAUACACUGAAAAACUUGAUCACACGACGUCAGUAUGGCGAAAGUCAUCAACUUCUACUAUGGUGUGGAUCAUUUCAAGAAAUAUCUUGCUAUACCACAAAUAUGACAACUUGCUGAUGAAGUUCACAAACUGCAAUACAAACUUGGUUUACAAAUAUUGUCUGAUUUUUGUGACUUCUAUGAAUGUCAAGGAAAAGCGCAUGUUCAAACUGAUCAGCUAGCAGACGCUUGUGCUGUUGUUUAAGUUCUUAAUGUAGAAGUAAGGUAAGGACACCAACACUUGUUUUGAACGAUUUUUAUAUGCAUGAUGUUACAGUGUAUAAUAAAAUCACUAAGAAGUUUGGAUGUUUGUGGAAAUUUGUAGCAGAGUUAUAGCCCAUUCGCACUAGCGGAUUUUACGGUACCAGCACGGUUUGGUCAGCUCGGUUUGAUUUUGUCAUGUACUGUGAACGCUUACCAUGUCGUGCUGAGAGGGUGGCAAGUGUGCUGUCCCAGAUCACUCCAAUUUGCCAUGCUGGCACGGUUUGGCUGGGAUGUUUUGCGUGGUGUGAACGGUUACCGAUCAGCAAGCAUGUUCGUGCAUGCAUAGUGUAUUGCAAAUGGCGUGGUCUGAAGGAAAAACAUUGUUUCUGAUUAUGUGGAUCGAACAAACACAUCUUGAGCGAUGCCGCCAUACUAACUAGAAACGUAUAAGACACUAUAGUAUGAGCAAUGUACACAUCAUGAUUGCUUUCUCCGGCGUAAUCUCCUUUUCGACCUGACAUGAUUUGUCGAUCUGGAUUGCUGAAUUGCCGUCAAUAAUAUGGCAAGGAAAGCAUGCUGAUGAUCCAUGAUUCUCAGACUUAGUGUACGUUACGAGUGGCUACACCCACUAGAUUGCUAGAGGAUUGUAGUGUGAAUAGGGGCUGGCACU